rnacentral:snRNA from 1 species
AGCGACCAAAAGUUGUUUGUUUG